rnacentral:rRNA from 1 species
GGGUUGUGAGGUUAAGCGACUAAGCGUACACGGUGGAUGCCCUGGCAGUCAGAGGCGAUGAAGGACGUGCUAAUCUGCGAAAAGCGCCGGCGAGGUGAUAUGAACCUUUGACCCGGCGAUGUCCGAAUGGGGAAACCCAGUGUGAUCCGUCACACUAUCGUUAACUGAAUACAUAGGUUAACGAGGCGAACCGGGGGAACUGAAACAUCUAAGUACCCCGAGGAAAAGAAAUCAACCGAGAUUCCCCCAGUAGCGGCGAGCGAACGGGGAGCAGCCCAGAGUCUGAAUCAGCUUGUGUGUUAGUGGAAGCGUCUGGAAAGUCGCACGGUACAGGGUGACAGUCCCGUACACGAAAGCACACAGGUUGUGAACUCGAAGAGUAGGGCGGGACACGUGGUAUCCUGUCUGAAUAUGGGGGGACCAUCCUCCAAGGCUAAAUACUCCUGACUGACCGAUAGUGAACCAGUACCGUGA